GACGAACGCUGGCGGCGUGCUUAACACAUGCAAGUCGAACGGUGAAGCGCCUUCCUUUUUGGUGGGUGUGGAUGAGUGGCGAACGGGUGAGUAACACGUGAGUAACCUGCCCCCUUCUUCUGGAUAACCGCAUGAAAGUGUGGCUAAUACGGGAUAUUCUGGGUCUGUCGCAUGAUGGGUCUGGGAAAGAUAUUGUUUCGGUGGGGGAUGGGCUCGCGGCCUAUCAGCUUGUUGGUGGGGUGAUGGCCUACCAAGGCGGUGACGGGUAGCCGGCCUGAGAGGGUGGACGGUCAUACUGGGACUGAGACACGGCCCAGACUCCUACGGGAGGCAGCAGGGGGGAAUAUUGCACAAUGGGAGGAAGGAUGAUGCAGCGACGCCGCGGGAGGGAUGGAGGCCUGCGGGUUGUGAACUUCUUUCGCCAGUGAAGCAGGCCUGCCUCGUUUGUGGGUGGGUUGACGGUAGCUGGAUAAGAAGCGCCGGCUAACUACGUG
rnacentral:rRNA from 1 species